rnacentral:sRNA from 1 species
CUCUGGCCCGAGCCAGGUCAGUCCGGGAGUGCAGAUGGCCCAUCCCGGGCUCUGGGCUCCUAGACCAGGGGUGGGCCCUGCCAGGAGUGGGCCUGAGCCUCGCACGUCCUCUGAAACUACGCUAUGCUCUGCUUUUGCGGCGCGAUGGGCGUGGGAGCGGGGGCUGCCCAAAGAUGGGCUGGGGUUGGAGGAAGUGGCCCGGUAGCCGCUGUGUGUCCUGAGGCCGUAAGGCGCCUGACCCCACCCUUGAAGCUGGCGACGGAGCAGGGCCUGUUUUCUCUACACUAUAGUCAUGAUCCGCUGGGCCCCCAGCGCAUCUCCUGGAAGAGCCCACUCACCCUGGACGAGCUCUUCGGUAGCCUCAGACCGUCCUUGAAGAGGAUGACUGAGACAUUAUGGGCCACGCGCUGUGUGUCUGCUCUCGGGGAACUGUCAUCAUUGACAAUAAGCGCUACCUCUUCAUCCAGAAACUGGGGGAGGGGUGAGUGUUUGGAAGUCAGUUAACUAGUCCUCAAGUUUAUGGUCAUUGAAGGACAGCGGUGUGCACAUGCUUGGGGCACAAGGGUUUUAUCCCCAUCCCUGUCCUCUCUCACCUGACAGAACCUAGCUACACAGUAUCAAGAAGGUGGAUUCUGGAGCCAGGCCUCCUAAAUCCACCUCGUGUGACCUUGAUAAACCAUGUUUUUUUCAUCAGCUUAAUGGAGAUGAUUAUUAUCCCUCACUGAUGGAGUUGUGAGGAUUAAAUGAGAUAAUGUGUAUAAAAUGUCUCACCCAAUGCCUGGUUGACAAGUACUUGAUAAGUGUUGGCUAUUAUUUAUUUAGCAUCUGUCAAGUGCAGAGGUCUCUAUUACGACCAUAGGACCUCAAAGAUUUCUAUAUCUCUGCUCCUGAGGAGCUCACGGUGUAAUAUUCUUCAGAUUUCUCUUAGAGCCACAUCUUGGGAAGGUUUCUGCUAAAUGGGAAGGACACCCCACUCACCACCAGGAAAUUUCUCUAGGUCCAAGCCAUGUGGGAGAUGACCAUGGCCCUUUAUUGACCCCUUUGGCCCACAGCGGGUUCAGCUAUGUGGACCUAGUGGAAGGGUUACAUGAUGGACACUUCUACGCCCUGAAGCGAAUCCUGUGUCACGAGCAGCAGGACCGGGAGGAGGCCCAGCGAGAAGCCGACAUGCAUCGCCUCUUCAAUCACCCCAACAUCCUUCGCCUCGUGGCUUACUGUCUGAGGGAACGGGGUGCUAAGCAUGAGGCCUGGCUGCUGCUACCAUUCUUCAAGGGACUUGAAGCCCACCAAUAUAUUGCUUGGAGAUGAGGGGCAGCCAGUUUUAAUGGACUUGGGUUCCAUGAAUCAAGCAUGCAUCCAUGUGGAGGGCUCUCGCCAGGCUCUGACCCUGCAGGACUGGGCAGCCCAGCGGUGCACCAUCUCCUACCGAGCCCCAGAGCUCUUCUCUGUGCCGAGUCACUGUGUCAUCGAUGAGCGGACUGAUGUCUGGUCCCUAGGCUGCGUGCUAUAUGCCAUGAUGUUUGGGGAAGGCCCUUAUGACAUGGUGUUCCAAAAGGGUGACAGUGUGGCCCUUGCUGUGCAGAACCAACUCAGCAUCCCACAAAGCCCCAGGCAUUCUUCAGCAUUGCGGCAGCUCCUGAACUCGAUGAUGACCGUGGACCCGCAUCAGCGUCCUCACAUUCCUCUCCUCCUCAGUCAGCUGGAGGCGCUGCAGCCCCCAGCUCCUGGCCAACAUACUACCCAAAUCUGAAAAAGCAGCAUGUUGAGAAGAUGGCCCCUUGUGCCUUGGAAAGAGGUUCCCAUCCCUCAUUGGAAUCGCCACCCAUUCCAUCCAGGACUUCUCUUACACUUGGGGGUAGCGGGGUCAGGACAAUCAUCUCAGUCCUGCAUCUUUUCUUCUGCUUUCUUCCCUCCAAGAGCAAAACCUGGGCAAGGGGACUUACUGAGUGGGGGUGGGUGGGGGUUGGGAAAAGGGAAACUGGUGGGAUAUGGAACAUGGCUCUGAGCAGGACUGUUGAGCUCACAUAGUGUUCUGACUCCAAAUCUGGGAGCAGGAGAAUGUGUAAACAAGAAUAAAGUGGAAGCAGGUUGGUGU